UCCUAAUCGUUGAAACAAAAGAGAUGGAUAAAAACUCCCAAACCAAGUCGGUGCUAGUUUGUUUAACGUUUCUAACGGCAGAACGAAUCGGAAAUGGACACUCAGAAUUCGCUCGGAUACACGUAUGCAGACGGAACCCAUCACAUAUUGGCGACGAGGAUGGGAUUCAACUCACAAUCGAUUAUAUUAGGCUCCGAUAGGCGUCAGCAACAACAUCAUUUAUCCAAAGAAUGAAAAGGUGAACGAUAAUGCA